UAGAAUUCACUGUUAACUUUACAGACAUUAAAGACAACACUAAAGAUGACACUUCAGCUGCCGAAACAGAUCAAUCACAUGAUCAAUCUAAGUCAGACGUGAUCAAUCCAGACGGCCCUGAUCGAUCUAAGGUUGCUGUCAUUGCUGCUGUUGUAAGCGGUUUCAUCAUCAUUAUAAUCAUCACAGUAACAAUCAUUUACAAAAAGAAACGCAACUGUUCCAGCCUUCCAGAGUGUUUCCGAUCAACAGACAUGAUGACAGACAAUUCAAUAAUUUGAAAGCAGUUUUAUUGCACUUUUCAAGUGAACCUUGUAAAAAGAUGACGCCUUUGGUUAUAUGUUUUCUGUUUUAUAUGUAUUUAUGUUAAAUAUUAUUGUGUUGUUUUAAUGGCUGAAAUGAACUCAAGCGUGUAUAUAAAAUGUGAUUAAGAUACAAAGACAACUAAACCCAAAUGUUUAUAUGCUUGGUUCUGUCCUGUUUUUUUAAAGACAUCUUUAUCAAUGAUUUUGUAUUUUGUGAAUGGUAAUAUAGCUUAAACUUGAAACUUUGUUUAUUUUAACCAAUGUAAUAAUUUUCACAUGUGAGGUAUUGCUCUUUAUUGAUUUAUACAAUAUAUUUAUAUUAUUAAAGGCUUGUGAUACUCUCUAAACAUUCAUUUCUGAAACCUCUUUCU